GACGAACGCUGGCGGCGUGCUUAACACAUGCAAGUCGAACGGUGAAGGGGUCUGCUUUUGUGGGCCCUGGAUGAGUGGCGAACGGGUGAGUAACACGUGAGUAACCUGUCCCCUUCUUCUGGAUAACCGCAUGAAAGUGUGGCUAAUACGGGAUAUUCUGGGUCUGUCGCAUGAUGGGUCUGGGAAAGAUUGCGCCUUUGGGUGUUUUUGGUGGGGGAUGGGCUCGCGGCCUAUCAGCUUGUUGGUGGGGUGAUGGCCUACCAAGGCGGUGACGGGUAGCCGGCCUGAGAGGGUGGACGGUCACACUGGGACUGAGACACGGCCCAGACUCCUACGGGAGGCAGCAGUGGGGAAUAUUGCACAAUGGGCGCAAGCCUGAUGCAGCGACGCCGCGUGAGGGAGGGAGGCCUUCGGGUUGUAAACCUCUUUCGCCAGUGAAGCAGGCCUGCUCCUUGUGGGUGGGUUGACGGUAGCUGGAUAAGAAGCGCCGGCUAACUACGUG
rnacentral:rRNA from 1 species